rnacentral:rRNA from 1 species
CCUGCCAACCCAUAAGAGGUCCAGCCUGCCCAGUGACUCUGUUCAACGGCCGCGGUAUCCUAACCGUGCGAAGGUAGCGUAAUCACUUGUUCUUUAAAUGAGGACUAGUAUGAACGGCACUACGAGGGUUACACUGUCUCCUUUUCCAAAUCAGUGAAACUAAUCUCCCCGUGAAGAAGCGAGGAUAAACCUAUAAGACGAGAAGACCCUAUGGAGCUUCAAACUUCCCAGCAAUUAUUUUUUCUAAUACAAUCUCAAGACAAUAAAAUAAACCCUUAUAAUAUGACUGCGAGUUUUCGGUUGGGGUGACCACGGAGUAAAAUAUAUCCUCCACAAUGAAUUAAAGCCUUAGCUUUAAACAAAGAAACACAAUUCUAUGCAUCAAAAAAUUGACACAUUGACCCAAUAUUUUGACCAAUGAAC